AAUCUGCUGGCACUCUCUCUCUCUCUCUCUCUCUCUCUCUCUCUCUCUCUCUCCCUCCCUCUCUCUCUCUCUGUAUGUGUGUGUGUGUGUGAGAGAGAGAGAGAGAGACAGAGAGAGAGAGAGAGAUCCUAGCAAUA
rnacentral:miRNA from 1 species